AAAAGAUGAAAGCCUUUUGCAGUGCAGCAGAGCUUUUGAGCUAGGGCAUGUGUGAAGUUCCGUUCUAUAUAAAAAAGGUCGGCAAUUACUUUUUCAUCUCCGGGCAGGGAAUGAUUUUUCAGUUCCGAGGGCCAUGGAAGUAGAUACUGGAAAUUCGUGUUUUAUUGAGAAGCUGCCUGUAGAAAGAUACGCAUCUACAAGAGAGACAAAGAAGCCCCUAGAAACUAACAAAAGCCCUGCUGCAUUUGUCAAUCACGCUGCUAUUGCUUGGCAUGAGAGCAGAAGAAAAUGGGUUGGAGAAGCAUCGAGGAAGUCAGAAAGGACGCCGAAGGACCCAAUUAUAAGUUGGUCAACGACCUAUGAAGAGUUGCUCUCUACAACUGAUCCUUUUUCUGAGCGAAUUCCUUUAACAGAAAUGGUUGACUUUCUAGUCGAUAUCUGGCACGAUGAGGGGCUUUUCGACUAGAUAUUUAUGAAGACAAACUUCAUCUAUGUAUCUUGUGCAGAUUAUUUUGCAGACAGUCUUUGACCCGUAAGAUAUUUAGCUUGACAUUCAACUUCUUCUAGCCAUUGAUCUUUAUAGGACCUUCCGUUUUAUGUGGUACCAUUCGUAGUCAUUGCCUAGUAACGUUAACAGGCGAACGAAGUCCUCUAUCUGAAUCAUGUUGUAUCAAAUAUUGUUAUGUAUAAGUACUGAAUUAUUUAAGCAGAUUCUUAA
rnacentral:misc_RNA from 1 species